GUAACUUCAUCCUGUUGUGGUCAGAGAAGAUCCUUUGUAUGGUAUCUGUCUUCUAAAAUCUGCUGAGACUUGUUUUGUGGCCUAACAUAUGUUCUCUCCUGGAGACAGUCUGGUGGACACCUGAGAGGAUGUGUGGCUUUGUGCUAUGAGAUCCCGGUGUGGGCAGAGUCCACCUCUGGAAGGCCAUUGAAGCCACCGGUUCAUAGUAGCUUCUGUGCACGUUUUGUGGUGCCCUAAGGUAGUGUUUGUGCUGGCGCUCGGUGGGGCUUCAUUGUGCUAAUCACAAGGUUUCCUGUUUGCAGCGUGCCUGCCAGUGUAGAGCCGGUGGAGCAGCUGGGCUCGGCGCUGAGGUUUCGCCCUGGCUACAACGACCCCAUGUCAGGGUUCGGAGCGACCUUGGCCGUUGGCCUGACCAUCUUUGUGCUGUCUGUCGUCACUAUCAUCAUCUGCUUCACCUGCUCCUGCUGCUGCCUUUACAAGACGUGCCGCCGACCACGUCCGGUUGUCACCACCACCACAUCCACCACUGUGGUGCAUGCCCCUUAUCCUCAGCCUCCAAGUGUGCCGCCCAGCUACCCUGGACCAAGCUACCAGGGCUACCACACCAUGCCGCCUCAGCCAGGGAUGCCAGCAGCACCCUACCCAAUGCAGUACCCACCACCUUACCCAGCCCAGCCCAUGGGCCCACCGGCCUACCACGAGACCCUGGCUGG
rnacentral:sRNA from 1 species